UACAGAGGGGGCAAGCGUUGUUCAGAAUUACUGGGCGUAAAGGGCGCGUAGGCGGCCUGUUAAGUCGGACGUGAAAUCCCUCGGCUCAACCGGGGAACUGCGUCCGAUACUGGCGGGCUUGAAUUCGGGAGAGGGAUGUGGAAUUCCAGGUGUAGCGGUGAAAUGCGUAGAUAUCUGGAGGAACACCGGUGGCGAAGGCGGCAUCCUGGACCGACAUUGACGCUGAGGCGCGAAAGCCAGGGGAGCAAACGGG
rnacentral:rRNA from 1 species